rnacentral:rRNA from 1 species
AUGCUGAAACACCUGGACUUGCAGGAAGAUGAGCUUGAUGAUGUUGUGGUGGGAGAAGAAGAGGUGAAGAAGUAUGCAGCAGAUGCGAGGUGGCUUGCGAUUGGGAAGGUAAACACGACAAGGCAGUUUAGUGCAUCGGCGAUGUUCGAGACGCUGAAGUCGGUCUGGAGGCUUGCUAAUGUGCCAACUUAUCGCGAGGCGGGUGAGAAUCUCUUCAUCUUUCAGAUGUUUUGUCUGGGUGAUUGGAAGAAGGUUGUACAUGGAGGUCCAUGGCUGUUUAGGGGGAUGGGAAUGCUUAUUGAGGAUUAUGACGGCAAGCAGGAGCCGUCCUCUGUCGUCUUUGAUGGUCUGUUUGUUUGGGCUCAGAUACACAACAUCCCAGAGUUGUACCGUAAAGCGGAAGUAGUGGAUCAACUUGCUCGCCGCAUUGGUCGCGUGAAGGAGACACAACUCUCGCCUCGCCUCUUUUAUGAGGGUGAC